rnacentral:rRNA from 1 species
AGUGAACGCUGGCGGUAGGCCUAACACAUGCAAGUCGAACGGCAGCACAGUAAGAGCUUGCUCUUACGGGUGGCGAGUGGCGGACGGGUGAGGAAUACAUCGGAAUCUACUUUUUCGUGGGGGAUAACGUAGGGAAACUUACGCUAAUACCGCAUACGACCUACGGGUGAAAGCAGGGGAUCUUCGGACCUUGCGCGAUUGAAUGAGCCGAUGUCGGAUUAGCUAGUUGGCGGGGUAAAGGCCCACCAAGGCGACGAUCCGUAGCUGGUCUGAGAGGAUGAACACAGACACUGGACCUCACACAGGGUCGUCACUCCUACGGCAGGCAGCAGUGGGAAAUAUAGGACAAUGGGGGCAUGCCUGAUCCAGCAAUACCGCGUCGGUGAGGCAGGCCUUAGGGGUGUAUAGCCCGUUUGUUGGGAAAGAAGGGCAGCAGAAAAAUACCCCGCUGAUCUGACGGUACCCAAAGAAUAAGCACGAGCUAACUUCGUG